rnacentral:rRNA from 1 species
UAAGGAAUAUUGGUCAAUGGACGGAAGUCUGAACCAGCCAUGCCGCGUGCAGGAAGACGGCCCUACGGGUUGUAAACUGCUUUUGUACCGGAAUAAACCCCCGAUCGUGAUCGGGGCUGAAUGUACGGUAAGAAUAAGGAUUGGCUAACUCCGUGCCAGCAGCCGCGGUAAUACGGAGGAUCCGAGCGUUAUCCGGAUUUAUUGGGUUUAAAGGGCGCGUAGGCGGCCUGUUAAGUCAGGGGUGAAAGACGGUAGCUCAACUAUCGCAGUGCCCUUGAUACUGAUGGGCUUGAAUGUACUAGAGGUAGGCGGAAUGUGACAAGUAGCGGUGAAAUGCAUAGAUAUGUCACAGAAUACCAAUUGCGAAGGCAGCUUACUAUGGUAUGAUUGACGCUGAGGCACGAAAGCGUGGGGAUCAAAC